rnacentral:rRNA from 1 species
CGAUAAGGCAGGCGAAAAUCCUGCCCGCCGAAAGCCUAAGGUUUCCUGGGGAAGGUAAAUCCGCCCAGGGUUAGUCGGGAGCUAAGGCGAGGCCGAAAGGCGUAGUCGAUGCACAGCGGGUUAAUAUUCCCGCACCGACCACAAAGGUUGAACCUCCGCGUGUGCUUUUCCAAGGCAGAUCCCCCGGUUAGUCGUGGGGGUUUCGCAAGAUCGAGGCCGCUUUGUUGCCGAAGUCUGUGGAGGAGGAGCCGAGAAGAGCGCGGAGUGGACGAUGUGGUUGUCCGUACUAAAACUGACACAGGUAGGCGAGGAGAGUAUCCUCAGGCGCUCGAGAGAACUGCGGUUAAGGAACUAGGCAAUCUGACCCCGUAACUUCGGGAGAAGGGGUCCCUACUCACGCAAGUGAGAGGGCGCAGGAAUCAGCCUGGGCGACUGUUUAUCAAAAACACAGCACUGUGCCAACUCGCAAGAGGACGUAUACAGUGUGACGCCUGCUCGGUGCGGGAAGGUUAAGGAAGUCGGUUAGGGCC